rnacentral:rRNA from 1 species
CCUACGGGGGGCAGCAGUGAGGAAUAUUGGUCAAUGGCCGAAAGGCUGAACCAGCCAAGUCGCGUGAGGGAAGAAUGUCCUAUGGAUUGUAAACCGCUUUUGUCAGGGAACAAAGUCACCCACGUGUGGGUGUUUGCGAGUACCUGAAGAAAAAGCAUCGGCUAACUCCGUGCCAGCAGCCGCGGUAAUACGGAGGGUGCGAGCGUUAUCCGGAAUUACUGGGUGUAAAGGGAGCGUAGACGGCGGGGUAAGCGUGCGGUGGAAGGCCGCGGCCCAACCGCGGCACUGCAUUGGGAACUGGCGUGCUUGAGUACGGGAGAGGUAAGCGGAAUUCCUGGUGUAGCGGUGAAAUGCGUAGAUAUGAGGAGGAACCCCGGUGGCGAAGGCGGCUUGCUGGACCAUAACUGACGUUGAGGCUCGAAAGCGUGGGGAGCGAACAGGAUUAGAUACCCUUGUAGUC